rnacentral:rRNA from 1 species
UACGUAGGGUGCGAGCGUUAAUCGGAAUUACUGGGCGUAAAGCGUGCGCAGGCGGUUGUGCAAGACAGAUGUGAAAUCCCCGGGCUCAACCUGGGAGCUGCAUCUGUGACUGCAUAGCUAGAGUACGGUAGAGGGGGAUGGAAUUCCGCGUGUAGCAGUGAAAUGCGUAGAUAUGCGGAGGAACACCGAUGGCGAAGGCAAUCCCCUGGACCUGUACUGACGCUCAUGCACGAAAGCGUGGGGAGCAAACAGG